CUUAACACAUGCAAGUCGAAGGAGAAGGUAGAAGCUUGCUUUUACUGGAGACUGGCGGACGGGUGAGUAACGCGUAGAUAACCUGCCUAUAGCUGGGGGAUAACACUGCGAAAGUGGUGCUAAUACCGCAUAAUGCAGCGGGGCCGCAUGGCCAUAGUUGUUAAAGGUUUCGGCCGGCUAUAGAUGGGUCUGCGUGCUAUUAGUUAGUUGGUAGGGUAACGGCCUACCAAGGCGAUGAUAGCUAGGGGGUCUGAGAGGAUGAUCCCCCACACUGGGACUGAGACACGGCCCAGACUCCUACGGGAGGCAGCAGUGAGGAAUCUUGCGCAAUGGGCGAAAGCCUGACGCAGCCACGCCGCGUGCCGGAUGAAGGCCCUAUGGGUUGUAAACGGCUUUUACUAGGGAAGAACGAGAGGGUUUUGAUCUUCUGUGACGGUACCUAGUGAAUAAGCACCGGCUAACUCCGUG
rnacentral:rRNA from 1 species